AGAAUCAACGCUGGCGGCGUGCCUAACACAUGCAAGUCGAACGCGGUUACCCCGCAAGGGGUGACUGAGUGGCAAACGGGUGAGUAACGCGUGGGUGACCUACCUUCGAGUGGGGGAUAACGUUUCGAAAGGAACGCUAAUACCGCAUGACAUCCUGCCUUUGGACAGGCGGAGAUCAAAGCCGGGGAUCGCAAGACCUGGCGCUUAAAGAGGGCCCGCGUCCGAUUAGCUAGUUGGUGGGUAACGGCUCACCAAGGCGACGAUCGGUA
rnacentral:rRNA from 1 species